UACAGGGGGGGCAAGCGUUGUUCGGAAUUACUGGGCGUAAAGGGCUUGUAGGUGGCCAACUAAGUCACACGUGAAAUCCCCAGGCUUAACCUGGGAACUGCGUCUGAUACUGGGAGGCUUGAGUAUGGGAGAGGGAUGUAGAAUUCCAGGUGUAGCGGUGAAAUGCGUAGAUAUCUGGAGGAAUACCGGUGGCGAAGGCGGCAUCCUGGACCAUAACUGACGCUGAGGCGCGAAAGCUAGGGGAGCAAACGGG
rnacentral:rRNA from 1 species